UACCCGCAGCUCAAGUGGUGGUCAUUAUUAUUAGGCCUAAAGCGUCCGUAGCUGGUUUGUUAAAUGCCUGGGUAAAUCGAUGCGCUUAACGUAUCGAAUUCCGGGUAGACUGGCAAACUCGAGACCGGGAGAGGUGUAGGCUACUCGAGGGGUAGGGGUAAAAUCCUGUAAUCCUUCGGGGAGGACCAGUGGCGAAGGCGCUACACUAGAACGGCUCUGACAGUGAGGGACGAAGCCCUGGGGCGCAAACCGG
rnacentral:rRNA from 1 species